UGGAGUCUGGUUAUUGUAGAAGUCCUGCUACUGGAGAAGCCCAGACAUUGAUGAAGUCUGAAAGAAGCUCGAAGUAAAGUUGAUUGUGACAGGAGGAAGUCUGGAAGAGAUUCGGAGAGUAGUCGAUCACUGUAGAAAAUCGACUGAUAAUGAAGCCCAGAGAGCAUUUGGAGCAAUCCGAUAAAUGACUGAAGGAGCUCAUUAUCAGAGAAGUCCAGAGGGUAUGAUAGGAGUUUGUCCCUUGGAGGAAUCUGGAGGACACUAUGGAAGGUCGACUGCUGGAGGAGUCCGAAUAGUAUUGUGGAAGCUCAGAUGGUCGGGAAAGUUUAGAAAGAUGUCGCACA
rnacentral:lncRNA from 1 species